AAGUCGUAACAAGGUUUCCGUAGCUGAACCUGCGGAAGGAUCAUUAAAAAAAAUAUUUAAUGAAUGGUCGGAGGGGAACAUUUUUUGUACCCCUUUGGCUUUAUUCAACCAACCCGCUCUUGUAUUUUGUAUCAAACAAAAAUUUUUAUAAAACUAAUAAAAAUAGUAAUGUAAAAAAAACUUUCAACAACGGAUCUCUUGGCUCUC
rnacentral:misc_RNA from 1 species